UUGAAAGGGAAACGAUUGAAGUCAGUCGUACCAGCGGGAAUCAACCUUUCGAGUGGGGGUUUGGAGUUUUUUGAAGAGUGUCAAAACCUUUGAGAUUUCAAAAUAUUCGCUCUUUUGGUGUACUUUCUCGUGGGUAGGUUAACAUCGAUUUUGAUCAUCAUAAAAAGAUUGGAGGAAUGUAGCUUCGAUCUUGUAUUGAAGUGUUAUAGCCUUUGGUAAAUGUGAUGAUUAGGAUCGAGGAUUGCAACGAAUACCCUUUUGGGCUAUCCGCCUGAUCUCUGAUACGUGGCCUUGGUAUCGAAAGCGUGCUUAUGGUAUUGAGGUAUUACGGUCAAAAGGUUAGAACGGAUUACAUUCGUUAAGGAUGUUGACGUA
rnacentral:rRNA from 1 species